rnacentral:rRNA from 1 species
GAUGAACGCUGGCGCUCGUGCCUAACACAUGCAAGUCGAGCGAUUCUCUUCGGAGAAGAGCGGCGGACGGGUGAGUAACGCGUGGGUAACUUUGCCCUGUACACACGGAUAACAUACCGAAAGGUAUGCUAAUACGAGAUAAUAUGCUUUUAUCGCAUGGUAGAAGUAUCAAAGCUUUUGCGGUACAGGAUGGACCCGCGUCUGAUUAGCUAGUUGGUGAGGUAACGGCUCACCAAGGCGACGAUCAGUAGCCGACCUGAGAGGGUGAUCGGCCACAUUGGAACUGAGACACGGUCCGAACUCCUACGGGAGGCAGCAGUGGGGAAUAUUGCUCUAUGGGCGAAAGCCUGAUGCAGCAACGCCGCGUGAGCGAUGAAGGCCUUCGGGUCGUAAAGCUCUGUCCUCAAGGAAGAUAAUGACGGUACUUGAGGAGGAAGCCCCGGCUAACUAC